rnacentral:rRNA from 1 species
UACGUAGGGUGCGAGCGUUAAUCGGAAUUACUGGGCGUAAAGUGUGCGCAGGCGGCCGCGCAAGUCGAGUGUGAAAUCCCCGAGCUUAACUUGGGAAUUGCGCUCGAAACUACGUGGCUGGAGUGUGGCAGAGGAAGGUGGAAUUCCACGUGUAGCGGUGAAAUGCGUAGAUAUGUGGAGGAACACCGAUGGCGAAGGCAGCCUUCUGGGCCAACACUGACUCUCAUGCACGAAAGCGUGGGGAGCAAACAGG